rnacentral:lncRNA from 1 species
CAAAUCUAAUGCAAAGCCUCCUGCCUCUCACACAUUGUGAUUCCCUGAAGUUCUGCAACUUAGGAAAUGCGUCUCAAUUUCAGUGGAGACGAAGGCGGAAGGUCAGACUGAGCUUUAAUCAAGGGAUGCUAUCUGGAGCUAAGAUAUUGGAAAUCCCUUCUAGUUCAUGUCAACAUUUCACAUGGUUCCAGGCACAAGUGUUUUAUCUUUAGUCAAAUGGUCUUGGAAAACCACCUAUGAAGUCAUACAGCCCAUUUCCUCUCCUGAUAAGCUCAUCACCCUGCCAUCAUCGGUAUAUUGAACCCACAUUGUACAUAGUCCUGGGGACUCACCCAAGAGUGAACCAUGCCCCCAAGUACUUUUUGUUACCUGCUAAUGACUCAUAGCUGCAGCCUUUGUCAAAUAGUCCACUCUAUACCACAGGCUAUAGUUUUCCAUCCUAGAAUAUUUCAUAAUCCGAUGCUAAUUCCAAAUUUCUAGUCUCUCACCUCCCC